CCUUGACAUCCAGAGAACUUAGCAGAGAUGCUUUGGUGCCUUCGGGAACUCUGAGACAGGUGCUGCAUGGCUGUCGUCAGCUCGUGUUGUGAAAUGUUGGGUUAAGUCCGCAACGAGCGCAACCCUUAUCCUUUGUUGCCAGCGGUUCGGCCGGGAACUCAAAGGAGACUGCCGGUGAUAAACCGGAGGAAGGUGGGGAUGACGUCAAGUCAUCAUGGCCCUUACGGCCAGGGCUACACACGUGCUACAAUGGCGCAUACAAAGAGAAGCGACCUCGCGAGAGCAAGCGGACCUCAUAAAGUGCGUCGUAGUCCGGAUUGGAGUCUGCAACUCGACCCCAUGAAGUCGGAAUCGCUAGUAAUCGUAGAUCAGAAUGCUACGGUGAAUACGUUCCCGGGCCUUGUACACACCGCCCGUCACACCAUGGGAGUGGGUUGCAAAAGAAGUAGGUAGCUUAACCUUCGGGAGGGCGCUUACCACUUUGUGAUUCAUGACUGGGGUGAAGUCGUAACAAGGUAGGCGUAGCGAG
rnacentral:rRNA from 1 species